rnacentral:rRNA from 1 species
UGAACGCUGGCGGCAGGCCUAACACAUGCAAGUCGAACGGUAACAGGAAGCAGCUUGCUGUUUCGCUGACGAGUGGCGGACGGGUGAGUAAUGUCUGGGAAACUGCCUGAUGGAGGGGGAUAACUACUGGAAACGGUAGCUAAUACCGCAUAACGUCGCAAGACCAAAGAGGGGGACCUUCGGGCCUCUUGCCAUCGGAUGUGCCCAGAUGGGAUUAGCUAGUAGGUGGGGUAACGGCUCACCUAGGCGACGAUCCCUAGCUGGUCUGAGAGGAUGACCAGCCACACUGGAACUGAGACACGGUCCAGACUCCUACGGGAGGCAGCAGUGGGGAAUAUUGCACAAUGGGCGCAAGCCUGAUGCAGCCAUGCCGCGUGUAUGAAGAAGGCCUUCGGGUUGUAAAGUAC